rnacentral:rRNA from 1 species
GAUGAACGCUGGCGGCGUGCCUAAUACAUGCAAGUCGAGCGAACAGACGAGGAGCUUGCUCCUCUGACGUUAGCGGCGGACGGGUGAGUAACACGUGGAUAACCUACCUAUAAGACUGGGAUAACUUCGGGAAACCGGAGCUAAUACCGGAUAAUAUAUUGAACCGCAUGGUUCAAUAGUGAAAGACGGUUUUGCUGUCACUUAUAGAUGGAUCCGCGCCGCAUUAGCUAGUUGGUAAGGUAACGGCUUACCAAGGCAACGAUGCGUAGCCGACCUGAGAGGGUGAUCGGCCACACUGGAACUGAGACACGGUCCAGACUUCUACGGGAGGCAGCAGUAGGGAAUCUUCCGCAAUGGGCGAAAGCCUGACGGAGCAACGCCGCGUGAGUGAUGAAGGUCUUCGGAUCGUAAAACUCUGUUAUUAGGGAAGAACAAAUGUGUAAGUAACUAUGCACGUCUUGACGGUACCUAAUCAGAAAGCAACGGCUAACUACGUG